rnacentral:SRP_RNA from 1 species
GCCAGGUGUGGUGGCGGGCACCUGCAAUCCCAGCUACUCAGGAGGCUAAGGCAGGAGAAUUGUUUGAACCUGGGAGGCAGAGGUUGCAGUGAGCCGAGAUUGCACCACUACACUCCAGCCCGGGUGACAGAGAAGAUUCCAUNNNNNNNNNNAUGGAAUCUUCUCUGUCACCCGGGCUGGAGUGUAGUGGUGCAAUCUCGGCUCACUGCAACCUCUGCCUCCCAGGUUCAAACAAUUCUCCUGCCUUAG